rnacentral:rRNA from 1 species
UACAGAGGGGGCAAGCGUUGUUCGGAAUUACUGGGCGUAAAGGGCGCGUAGGCGGCCCGCUAAGUCGAACGUGAAAUCCCCGAGCUCAACUCGGGAACUGCGUCCGAUACUGGCGGGCUUGAAUCCGGGAGAGGGAUGCGGAAUUCCAGGUGUAGCGGUGAAAUGCGUAGAUAUCUGGAGGAACACCGGUGGCGAAGGCGGAUCUCUGGGCCUUACCUGACGCUGAGGCGCGAAAGCUAGGGGAGCGAACAGG